CGCGUAGGCGGUUGAUGCAGUCAGAUGUGAAAUCCCCGGGCUUAACCUGGGAACUGCAUUUGUGACUGUAUAGCUAGAGUACGGCAGAGGGGGAUGGAAUUCCGCGUGUAGCAGUGAAAUGCGUAGAUAUGCGGAGGAACACCGAUGGCGAAGGCAAUCCCCUGGGCCUGUACUGACGCUCAUGCACGAAAGCUGGGAGCAAACA
rnacentral:rRNA from 1 species